AACUGCACCUCAGUUUCUAAAUUACGGGUUACAGUGCCUAGACUUUUGCCAGUUAUUUAAAGUUUGGUCACUGACUCAAUUCCAAAACUUCUAGCCUAAUUUUACACUCAAAUACUCAGGCAAAACACUGUAUUUGCUAGGUUAAAUAAUGUCAAGUAAGUGAUCGUCAGCUCCCUCUUGUGGCCAAUUAGUGUUUGUUGUUGAUCAUAUGAAGAACUUGGGGUAGCCAGGCGUAGGUGAGAGGACUUAGAUUUGAUUUGAAUUUAAUAUAUUUUAAAUCAAAUCUAUUUUAUUUUUAUCGAGGCCUUGAGCAGCAAAACAACGUACAUUUAGCAGUUUCGGGUAAAAGGUCCAGAUCAAUCGAUGCGGUAAGGCAGAUAAUUGUGUUGAACUCAACGGCACAUGACUUCUGUUGGAAUGGUUCUACAAUGACUGUUUGCUACAGCACUGCGCAUUUUAUGUCUCUCGCUGAUCCAGUUCAGUUCAUGCAGCUCUCUGAACACGUGUUGAUGAUCUGAAUCGGAUGACGAGGGAGACAAAAAUGAGCAGUGCUGGAGAGGCCAUAACGGAGGGGUGUUUUCGACCGCAUUACCUGAUUUGCUCACGUCACGGUGACGGUUGUGUUUAAGAGUGGGGUCAGAGACUCGCUGGACAAGGAUAAAGAAAUACAGGUUUGCAGGAGAACUGAAUCAUGGGAGGAGGUCCAUGCACAUGAGGAUGAGUGUGUCAUCUUCACUAAGUCCUCACUGAUGAAGCCUUGUCUGUACUCAUCCCUUCUUAUCCCAUCACCUUCUGAUUGAUUAUUAAUGUCUGGAUGAACUUGAACAAGUCACCUAAACUAAGGUUGUUAAUUUACCUAAAUAUAAUCCGCAAAAACAAGAAGUUCUGGUGUCCUGUCGAUGGUGUGCC